UACGUAGGGCGCAAGCGUUAUCCGGAAUUAUUGGGCGUAAAGAGCUCGUAGGCGGUUUGUCGCGUCUGCUGUGAAAGACCGGGGCUCAACUCCGGUUCUGCAGUGGGUACGGGCAGACUAGAGUGCGGUAGGGGAGACUGGAAUUCCUGGUGUAGCGGUGAAAUGCGCAGAUAUCAGGAGGAACACCGAGUGGCGAAGGCAGGUCUCUGGGCCAAUGACUGCGUGAGGAGCGAAAGCGUGGGGAGCGAACAGGAUUAGA
rnacentral:rRNA from 1 species